GUGACUGCGUACCUUUUGUAUAAUGGGUCAGCGACUUAUAUUCUGUAGCAAGGUUAACCGAAUAGGGGAGCCGGAGGGAAACCGAGUCUUAAUUGGGCGUUAAGUUGCAGGGUAUAGACCCGAAACCCGGUGAUCUAGCCAUGGGCAGGUUGAAGGUUGGGUAACACUAACUGGAGGACCGAACCGACUAAUGUUGAAAAAUUAGCGGAUGACCUGUGGCUGGGGGUGAAAGGCCAAUCAAACCGGGAGAUAGCUGGUUCUCCCCGAAAGCUAUUUAGGUAGCGCCUCGUGAAUUCAUCUCCGGGGGUAGAGCACUGUUUCGGCUAGGGGGCCAUCCCGGCUUACCAACCCGAUGCAAACUGCGAAUACCGGAGAAUGUUAUCACGGGAGACACACGGCGGGUGCUAACGUCCGUCGUGAAGAGGGAAACAACCCAGACCGCCAGCUAAGGUCCCAAAGUCAUGGUUAAGUGGGAAACGAUGUGGGAAGGCCCAGACAGCCAGGAUGUUGGCUUAGAAGCAGCCAUCAUUUAAAGAAAGCGUAAUAGCUCACUGGUCGAGUCGGCCUGCGCGGAAGAUGUAACGGGGCUAAACCAUGCACCGAAGCUGCGGCAGCGACRCUGUGYGUUGUUGGGUAGGGGAGCGUUCUGUAAGCCUGYGAAGGUGKSYYGUGAGGSWUGCUGGAGGUAUCAGAAGUGCGAAUGCUGACAUAAGUAACGAUAAAGCGGGUGAAAAGCCCGCUCGCCGGAAGACCAAGGGUUCCUGUCCAACGUUAAUCGGGGCAGGGUGAGUCGACCCCUAAGGCGAGGCCGAAAGGCGUAGUCGAUGGGAAACGGGUUAAUAUUCCCGUACUUGGUGUUACUGCGAAGGGGGGACGGAGAAGGCUAUGUUGGCCGGGCGACGGUUGUCCCGGUUUAAGCGUGUAGGUGUGUGUUCCAGGUAAAUCCGGUUCACUUUAACACUGAGGCGUGAYGACGAGGCACUACGGUGCUGAAGCAACAAAUGCCCUGCUUCCAGGAAAAGCCUCUAAGCAUCAGGUAACAUCAAAUCGUACCCCAAACCGACACAGGUGGUCAGGUAGAGAAUACCAAGGCGCUUGAGAGAACUCGGGUGAAGGAACUAGGCAAAAUGGUGCCGUAACUUCGGGAGAAGGCACGCUGACAYGUAGGUGAAGUGAUUUACUCAYGGAGCUGAAGUCAGUCGAAGAUACCAGCUGGCUGCAACUGUUUAUUAAAAACACAGCACUGUGCAAACACGAAAGUGGACGUAUACGGUGUGACGCCUGCCCGGUGCCGGAAGGUUAAUUGAUGGGGUCAGCGCAAGCGAAGCUCCUGAUCGAAGCCCCGGUAAACGGCGGCCGUAACUAUAACGGUCCUAAGGUAGCGAAAUUCCUUGUCGGGUAAGUUCCGACCU
rnacentral:rRNA from 1 species